UCCCUUCUAGCUUAAGAGAAAGCGUUAGUUUGAAGAGCUAGAGAUACAGUUAAUGUGGUGGGAA
rnacentral:tRNA from 1 species